rnacentral:lncRNA from 1 species
GCAGCUGAUAGGUAAUUCCCCAAAAUUCCUUCCCUGCUUGUUCAGAGAUGGCGUGUGUUUUUUCGGUUUGUUGUGGUUAUUGAGGAAAGCCUUUUAACUAAAAUUACUUUUCUCAACCUUUUUUACCGUGCGUGUUCCUCUUAAUUUUUCCCUGAAGUUUCGCUGAAAUCAUGUUUUCAUUUCUGGUCCAACGAUGAUCUUUAAGUGGAAACCGAGUGUUUGAAACUCCUCAACGUUUGUUAUUCUUAUUUCCAACGAAUUAUUUCUCGCAUUUAUUCAUCGUUUUGUGUUGAACUGCAGUUUAUGUUUACGGAAAAUGUUCCACAAAUUACGGCUAAAGGUCCGACUGUCCAAGUGCUGAUAUUUCCGAUCCAUUUUCUCCGAAAUGUGAAAACCUUUGCCUCGCUUAGACUUGGUGUGUAUUAGUGAAGGCCAGAGAGCAGUAACAACAUUCAGUUUUCUUUCUGAUGAAUGAAUUGUAGCCAAGGGAAAUGAGCCACAACAUGGGAGGAAUGGCACCCUAUGUCAAGUAAGUAUUAAAUUUGCUCAAAUUUUCCCAAUUGCCAAUAAGAAGAGCCCAACAAAGAGGAAGGUACAAAGUGGCAAAUGGAUGAUUUUUCCUUAUUGCUUACUCAAUACUAAAGUUUUGUCAUUCCCGUAUGCAGAAGUUGGGACUCACCUGAGCAGUAUUUUCACUCUCAUAUCUAGGUAUUGACAAGUAAAUACCAUGAAGGUUCACGAAGUCAGCUCCCCCAAACCCCUAAACUGAUUGAGUGGAAAAUGUAACUAUCUCCAGUAUGUGCUUCAGUCUCCGCAAUUCAGUCCCUUUAUCUGUUUGGUUUCUCUACUUAAUCCUUGCGAUCACUUCAAGGUAACUGACAUGAGGAGGUCACAUAGCAUCCCUCUUAGAUUUUGAUUGGAACAUGGCCAGACUUUUCUUCAUGCAAAACUAUUGGACCCCCAUUUUGUUGUUAUUGCAAAUGGACCCUGAAUGUUAAAAAAAUUCAAAAAAUUGGUACAACACAUCACUUGUUAAAGUGGCAAAAUAACGAAUCUCUUAAUUUCCUUUGAUAUGAUCCUAGUAACCAAAAAUAAGUUGAA